rnacentral:rRNA from 1 species
AUGGGGCGCUACCCACCCCGAGCCGCCGCGGAACAGAGGAGACAGACAGCGGAGGAGCCCAUUACGGUCCACCACGGUCAAAGCAGAGGGAUGCCCCCCGUCGCAACGGCUAGUCGUGUCCGAUCCCCCCCUCCCCUCUCCGUCCCGUCCUCGUCGCGCCGCUCCUCCGAUCCCCCUUCGCGCCCCCGCGCCGCCGACCACCCAGCAGCCACGGAGAAUCCUGCACCGGCGGCGGGAGGGAAGCCGUUCCUGCUGUCCGUGCCGACGGUCACCGAGGAGGCGCCACCUCCGCUCUGCGCCGUCCAGAUGGAGGGACUGGAUGUUGCUAGGUUGGCGUGGGAUUGCCUCAACCGAGAUGAUGAUGAAGAGCUCCUGAGAUUACUGGGAAAUCAAACUCCUUUGCGAGACUGCCAUGCCUUCCUUGACAUUGGGGAUAUCACCUGCGAGGAGACACUGGACCUGGAGGAAUAUCGGGAACCGAAGCGGCGACGCGUAUUGGAGUAUCAUUCUGAGGUUAAUCAGCCAGAUGGUCGAGAUCAUGAAAUGGGUUCUAAUUUUGUCACAUCUGAGGUAACAGAGGCUUCACUGAUUUGCACUGAUGAACCACAGAGCUUAAACUGGGAUAUGCAGCAAGAUUCAGAUAUUUUAGAUAUGAUAAGUUCCUUGUCAAAUGGGGCACCCUACGAGCCAUCAGAUAAUCAGUUGGAAAAUUACUCUGAUGGAUCUACUAUCUACUACACACCUGAUCAAAUGACUCCUACCCAGGAGAGCGUUACAUAUAUGGAUUGCCAAACUGAUAUGCCAGGAACAGCUGAGAUUGCACCGGCAACGGAGAAUCUCAUAAUGCAGGAGACUAACAAACUUUCUAUGCUAAAAGUAUCUAAAGGAGGAAGCUCGAUGAUCAAGAUGAAGCAAAAUUUAACUACAUUUAUGACAUGCCCAUUUACCCUUAUAAAACCAUAUUGGGAAGAAGGAAAUGUCACUCUGAAGGAUAUAAAUCAGCUAAUCCAUGCUCCUCCGAAGCAGCCUCCAGAAAUCCUGGGAAUGUCAGCUUUUUCUGGCAAGCCAGUGAUCGGCAAGACCAGAAUCAGAACAGAAGGUGGGAAAGGCAGCAUCACAAUACUAAGAACAAAGGGCUGA